CAAUAGCGUAUAUUAAAGUUGUUGCGGUUAAAAAGCUCGUAGUUGGAUUUCUGUCUGAGGCGGCCGGUCCACUUUCUGAGUGAGCAUCUGGUCCGCUUUGGGCAUCCUCCUGGGGAACGUUUCCGCGCUUGAUUGUGUGGUACGGAAUCUAGGACUUUUACUUUGAACAAAUUAGAGUGUUUAAAGCAGGCAAUCGCCUGAAUACAUUAGCAUGGAAUAACCGAAUAGGACUUUGGUUCUAUUUUGUUGGUUUUAAGGACCAAAGUAAUGAUUAAUAGGGAUAGUUGGGGGCAUUAAUAUUUAAUUGUCAGAGGUGAAAUUCUUAGAUUUAUGAAAGAUUAACUUCUGCGAAAGCAUUUGCCAAGGAUGUUUUCAUUAAUCAAGAACGAAAGUUAGGGGAUCGAAGAUGAUCAGAUACCGU
rnacentral:rRNA from 1 species